rnacentral:rRNA from 1 species
UACAGAGGUCUCAAGCGUUGUUCGGAUUCAUUGGGCGUAAAGGGUGCGUAGGUGGCGGGGUAAGUCGGAUGUGAAAUCCCGGGGCUCAACCCCGGAACUGCAUUCGAAACUGCCUUGCUCGAGUACUGGAGAGGAGACUGGAAUUUACGGUGUAGCAGUGAAAUGCGUAGAUAUCGUAAGGAAGACCAGUGGCGAAGGCGAGUCUCUGGACAGUUACUGACACUGAGGCACGAAGGCCAGGGGAGCAAACGGG